rnacentral:rRNA from 1 species
CACGUAGGGGCCUAGCGUUGUCCGGAUUUAUUGGGCGUAAAGGGCUCGUAGGCGGUCUGUCGCGUCGGUCGUGAAAACUUGGGGCUUAACCCUGAGCUUGCGGUCGAUACGGGCAUGACUGGAGUUCGGUAGGGGAGACUGGAAUUCCUGGUGUAGCGGUGAAAUGCGCAGAUAUCAGGAGGAACACCGGUGGCGAAGGCGGGUCUCUGGGCCGAUACUGACGCUGAGGAGCGAAAGCGUGGGGAGCGAACAGG